rnacentral:lncRNA from 1 species
CUUUUCCUAAUAGAGUGAUUUAAGCCUUCAUUUUUAGACAUCUAAGCCCUUGGUGAUCAUCAGCAUAAAAUGUGACAAAUUAAACAAAAGCAAGACAGCACAUCAGAGAACAACUCUGAGGUGGAAUGAUUGGGAACCAAUGAAUAGUUGUUCAGUAAAUGGUUUAUAUUUUACAGAUGAUGAAACUGAAACACAAAAAAUUUAGAUUAACUCUUAGGUGACAAAGCCAGGAUUGAAGCUCAUGCGGUCUGGCUCCAGAACAACUCUUCUUCAUAGUUACGUUAUACUGCCCCUGCAUUGUUGGUAUUGAAAAUAACUGAUACCGUGCUUCCAGAAGAUUUUUCUAACAGUGUUUGCAAGCUAUAAAAUAGUGCUUUCACUUAGAAAAGGCUAGACGUGGUGGUUCAUGCCUGUAAUCCCAGCACUUUGAGAGGCCGAGGCACCAUGCUGGGAGAUAAGGAUCCAACAUAAGACAAACAGUGCUGAUGCUUUUGGAAAGCUCAUAUUCAAGCUGGGGAGACAAACAACAUACAAGUGGCUGUAGCUACCUUCUGCAUAUGGAUAUCCAGUUUUCCCAGCACCACUUAUUAAAGAGACUGUCUUUUCUGCAGUGUAUAUUCUUGGCACCGUUGUUGAAAAUGAAUUCAUUGUAGGUGUG